GCCUGCCUGCCUGCCUGCCUGCCUGCCUGCCUGCCUGCCUGCCUGCCUGCCUGCCUAACCAUGCCAACCAGUUAACCGAACAUGAUUGUCUGGACUGUGGGAGGAAGCUGGAGCAGCUGAGGAAACCCACACAUGAAAAGUCGAGCGUUAUCACGAUGUGGCACGCUGUCCUGCUGGAAGCAGGAAGAAGAUGGUCCACUGCAAUCAGAAAGGGAUGGACGUGGUCAGCAGCAACACUCAGGAAGGCUGUGGGGUUUAAAUGAUGCUCAGGUGCUGCUGAUGGGCCAAAGACUGACAAGAAAACCUCAUCAUCAUCACAUCAUUGAUACAAGGCAGGCUGGAUCCAUGCGUCCAUGUUCACACCAAAUCCUGACCCUACUGUCCGAUCACCGUAGCCUCAUCAGAUCAGGGAACGUUCAUCCAGUCUUCUGAGCCCAUGUGAUCUGUAGCCUCAGUGUCCUUUUCCUCACUGACAGGUGUAGCUGUCUCAGACCAUCUGCCUCGAGGUUUGAUGUGCUGUGUUCAGAGAUGCUCUUCUGCAUAUCUUGACUGCAGUGAGUGGUUAUUUGAGUUACUGUUGCCAUCUUGUCAGCUCUCCUCUGGGUCAUUCUCUGUAAACCCUAGAGAUGGUCCCUGCAGAUCAGCAGCAUAGAUUAUUCUAUGUGCUGAUAAAGCUUCUGUGAUAACUUUGUUUUUACUGGGUGGUUUCGCUAUGAGAUGUGCAAGGGAAUAAAGUUGUGAUAUAAAAACAAGAUUAUCCUAAUGGGCUUCAGAGCUGGUUGGUGGGGUUGUUUCCUGCAUGUAGUUUCUUCACACACAGCAGCUUUUUAUUUUCUCCUAAUAUCCUCAGACAUCAGAAUAAAGCAACAGUCCAGGCUGGUGGCAGGGGAGGCAACACUAAACUGUGUACAGAUCCCAGUCACAAUUCAUCCAAUAGGAAUGUCUCACUGGCUGCAGUAAUCAUAAUUUCUGUGACAUAUGAAGUUUCAGUCACUGACAGAAAACUGUGGUUGGAGAUUUGAAAAUGAUUUGAAAUAAAUUGUUGUGUUAUAGAAACAGACGAAACUUAAUUGAAAGUCUGGCAGCUGUAAAGAGGAACACAAUGACCUUGUGCCACAAACCAAACAAUCACGAGGUGGGAACGUGCUGUACCUGAGCUCACACCUAUGCAUCAAGGAAACACGGAGCUGCUUAUGGAGAAAGAUUAGACCUCUAUAAAGAAUACAGUGAAUUUCAUUUAUGCUCUUGCUUGUGAAUGUCAAGACGUUAAAGCUGAGCUGAAAAGCCCUCAGCAGC